rnacentral:piRNA from 1 species
UUCUAAACCAGAUUUUAAAAA